AGCAGUAGCCGCGGGAAUACGUAGGUGGCAAGCGUUGUCCGGAAUUAUUGGGCGUAAAGGGCUCGCAGGCGGUUUCUUAAGUCUGAUGUGAAAGCCCCCGGCUCAACCGGGGAGGGUCAUUGGAAACUGGGAAACUUGAGUGCAGAAGAGGAGAGUGGAAUUCCACGUGUAGCGGUGAAAUGCGUAGAGAUGUGGAGGAACACCAGUGGCGAAGGCGACUCUCUGGCCUGUAACUGACGCUGAGGAGCGAAAGCGUGGGGAGCGAACAGGAUUAGAUACCCGGGUAGUCCCUGUCUCUUAUAC
rnacentral:rRNA from 1 species